AGUGAACGCUGGCGGUAGGCCUAACACAUGCAAGUCGAACGGCAGCACAGUAAGAGCUUGCUCUUACGGGUGGCGAGUGGCGGACGGGUGAGGAAUACAUCGGAAUCUACUUUUUCGUGGGGGAUAACGUAGGGAAACUUACGCUAAUACCGCAUACGACCUACGGGUGAAAGCAGGGGAUCUUCGGACCUUGCGCGAUUGAAUUAGCCGAUGUCGGAUUAGCUAGUUGGCGGGGUAAAGGCCCACCAAGGCGACGAUCCGUAGCUGGUCUGAGAGGAUGAUCAGCCACACUGGAACUGAGACACGGUCCAGACUCCUACGGGAGGCAGCAGUGGGGAAUAUUGGACAAUGGGCGCGAGCCUGAUCCAGCCAUACCGCGUGGGUGAAGAAGGCCUUCGGGUUGUAAAGCCCUUUUGUUGGGAAAGAAAAGCAGCAGGUUAAUACCCCGCUGUUCUGACGGUACCCAAAGAAUAAGCACCGGCUAACUUCGUG
rnacentral:rRNA from 1 species